UACGUAGGGUGCGAGCGUUAAUCGGAAUUACUGGGCGUAAAGCGUGCGCAGGCGGUUCGUUGUGUCUGUGGUGAAAGCCCCGGGCUUAACCUGGGAAUGGCCAUGGAAACUGGCGAGCUGGAGUGUGGCAGAGGGGGGUGGAAUUCCACGUGUAGCAGUGAAAUGCGUAGAGAUGUGGAGGAACACCGAUGGCGAAGGCAGCCCCCUGGGCUAACACUGACGCUCAGGCACGAAAGCGUGGGGAGCAAACAGG
rnacentral:rRNA from 1 species